GAAAAAGGUGAUGUGUCAGCACA
rnacentral:siRNA from 1 species